CAUCUGCAGCAGGAAUAACGUCGUCUUC
rnacentral:piRNA from 1 species